AGUCUGGUGGUGCAAUGGUAGCAUAGGUGGUUGACAGCAGAGAAAUCUGUCCCCUUCGGGGGGCCGCCAGAUUCUGGGUUCGAUUCCCAGACCAGGCAA